rnacentral:rRNA from 1 species
GACGAACGCUGGCGGCGUGCUUAACACAUGCAAGUCGAACGAAGUGGCGAACGGGUGAGUAACGCGUAAUCCACCUGCCCUUCAGAGGGGGACAACAGUUGGAAACGACUGCUAAUACCGCAUACUGAAGGAGGGGAUUGCGUCUGCUUAGCUAGUGGGCGGGGUAACGGCCCACCAGGGCGAUGAUCAGUAGCCGGUCUGAGAGGAGGAACGGCCACAGUGGGACUGAGACAAGGCCCAGACGCCUACGGGAGGCAGCAGUGGGGAAUAUUGCACAAUGGGCGCAAGCCUGAUGCAGCCAUGCCGCGUGAGUGAUGACGGCCUUCGGGUUGUAAAGCUCUGUUGUUAAGGAAGCGGUACUUAACCAGAAAGGGACGGCUAACUACGUGCCAGCAGCCGCGGUAAUUC